rnacentral:pre_miRNA from 1 species
GGUACCUGAAGAGAGGUUUUCUGGGUUUCUGUUUCUUUAAUGAGGAUGAAACACACCUGGUUAACCUCUUUUCCGGUA